CCUACGGGAGGCAGCAGUGAGGAAUAUUGGUCAAUGGACGAGAGUCUGAACCAGCCAAGUAGCGUGAAGGAUGACUGCCCUAUGGGUUGUAAACUUCUUUUAUAAAGGAAUAAAACGAGGCACGUGUGCCUUUUUGCAUGUACUUUAUGAAUAAGGAUCGGCUAACUCCGUGCCAGCAGCCGCGGUAAUACGGAGGAUCCGAGCGUUAUCCGGAUUUAUUGGGUUUAAAGGGAGCGUAGAUGGGUUGUUAAGUCAGUUGUGAAAGUUUGGGGCUCAACCGUAAAAUUGCAAUUGAUACUGGCAGUCUUGAGUACAGGAGAGGUAGGCGGAAUUCGGGGUGUAGCGGUGAAAUGCGUAGAUAUCACGAAGAACCCCGAUUGCGAAGGCAGCCUUCCGGCGCCCGACUGACGCUGAGGCACGAAAGCGUGGGUAUCGAACAGGAUUAGAUACCCUUGUAGUC
rnacentral:rRNA from 1 species